AUUGAACGCUGGCGGCAGGCCUAACACAUGCAAGUCGAGCGAGUGGCGGACGGGUGAGUAAUAUCUGUGAAACUGCCUGCUGGCGGGGGAUAACUACGGGGAACGGUAGCUAAUACCGCGUACCCUCAGGUGUACCCAGAUGGGCUUAGAUUGUUGGUGGGGUAACGGCUCACCAAGGCGACGAUCCCUAGCUGGUCUGAGAGGAUGACCAGCCACACUGGAACUGAGACACGGUCCAGACUCCUACGGGAGGCAGCAGUGGGGAAUAUUGCACAAUGGGCGCAAGCCUGAUGCAGCCAUGCCGCGUGUAUGAAGAAGGCCUUCGGGUUGUAAAGUACUUUCAGCGGGGAGGCGUUACCCGCAGAAGAAGCACCGGCUAACUCCGUGCCAGCAGCCGCGGUAAUAC
rnacentral:rRNA from 1 species